rnacentral:tRNA from 2 species
GCAUUUAUAGCUCAGUGGUAGAGCGUUGCACUUGUAAUGCAAAGGUCGAUAGUUCAAUCCUGUGGAGGCA